rnacentral:rRNA from 1 species
ACUUCGAUGGACGGUAUACGGCUCAGUAACAAGUAGUCAAUCUGCCCUAAGGACGGGAGCAACCUCGGGAAACUGAGGUCAAUUCCCGAUGCCCCAUCUAUGCUGGAAUGCUUGAUGGGGAAAACGCGCGGUGAAUCGGAGCCGUUGCGCCUUAGGAUGAGACUGCUCCUGAUUAGGUAGUUGGUGAGGUAACGGCUCACCAAGCCGAUAAUCAGUAGGGGCAAUGGGAGUUGGCGCCCCGAGAAGGGCACUGAGACAAGGGCCCUAGUCCUACGGGAUGCAGCAGGCGCGAAACCUUUACAAUGCGCGAAAGCGUGAUAAGGGAACUCUGAGUGGCAGCCGGCUUUUGCCGACUGUCUUUUGGCGAACCUAAACCGUUCGCAGAAUAAGUUCUGGGUAAGACCAGUGCCAGCCGCCAUGUGCAUCUGCACGAUGCGCACGGUACGCGGUAAUACUGGCAGAACGAGUGGUGCCCACGAAUAUUGGGUCUAAAGAGACCGUAGCUGGUCUGUUAAGUCCACUGUGAAAUCUUGGGGCUCAACCUCAAGGCGUGCAGUGGAUACUGGCAGACUUGAGAGCGGGGGAGGUCAGGGGUACUUACGGGGUAUGAGUAAAAUCAGUUGAUCCUGUAAGGACCACCAGUGGCGAAGGCGCCUGACCAAAACGCGUCUGACAGUGAGGGUCGAAGGCUAGGAGAACGAAUCGGAUUAGAUACCCGAGUAGCCCUAGCAGUAAAUUAUGCAGACUGUGGUGU